rnacentral:misc_RNA from 1 species
CAUUAUUGAAUAAACUUGGUUGGGUUGUUGCUGGCUCUCAGGAGCAUGUGCACGCUCAUUCCAUUUUUACCCACCUGUGCACACACUGUAGGCUUGAAUGAACUUUUCGAGGAAACUCGGUUUGAGAACUGCUAGAAGCUGUUCUUGCAUUCCAGGUCUAUGUUUUAAACAUAUACUCUAUAACAAGUUCCAGAAUGUUAAUUAUAGGCCUUCUGUGCCUUUAAACCUAAUACAACUUUCAACAACGGAUCUCUUGGCUCUCGCAUCGAUGAAGAACGCAGCGAAAUGCGAUAAGUAAUGUGAAUUGCAGAAUUCAGUGAAUCAUCGAAUCUUUGAACGCACCUUGCGCUCCUUGGUAUUCCGAGGAGCAUGCCUGUUUGAGUGUCAUGAAAUUCUCAACCUCUCUGGCUUUUAUUAGCUUGGUCAGGCUUGGAUUGUGGGAGUUGCUGGCUUCUCUUGGAGAUCA